rnacentral:rRNA from 1 species
UACAGAGGGUGCGAGCGUUGUUCGGAAUUACUGGGCGUAAAGCGCGCGCAGGCGGCCUUUUACGUCUACCCGUGAAAUGCCGGGGCUCAACUCCGUGCACGCCGGGGGAUACUGGGAGGCUGGAGACAGGUAGAGGCAAGCGGAAUUCCGGGUGUAGCGGUGGAAUGCGUAGAGAUCCGGAAGAACACCUGAGGCGAAGGCGGCUUGCUGGGCCUGGUCUGACGCUGAGGCGCGAGAGCGUGGGGAGCAAACAGG